GGAUUAGAUACCCUGGUAGUCCACGCCGUAAACGAUGUCGACUUGGAGGUUGUUCCCUUGAGGAGUGGCUUCCGGAGCUAACGCGUUAAGUCGACCGCCUGGGGAGUACGGCCGCAAGGUUAAAACUCAAAUGAAUUGACGGGGGCCCGCACAAGCGGUGGAGCAUGUGGUUUAAUUCGAUGCAACGCGAAGAACCUUACCUACUCUUGACAUCCAGAGAACUUAGCAGAGAUGCUUUGGUGCCUUCGGGAACUCUGAGACAGGUGCUGCAUGGCUGUCGUCAGCUCGUGCCG
rnacentral:rRNA from 1 species